CUCUUCCGUAGGUGAACCUGCGGAAGGAUCAUUACCGAGUGUAGGGUUCCUAGCGAGCCCAACCUCCCACCCGUGUUUACUGUACCUUAGUUGCUUCGGCGGGCCCGCCAUUCAUGGCCGCCGGGGGCUCUCAGCCCCGGGCCCGCGCCCGCCGGAGACACCACGAACUCUGUCUGAUCUAGUGAAGUCUGAGUUGAUUGUAUCGCAAUCAGUUAAAACUUUCAACAAUGGAUCUCUUGGUUCCGGCAUCGAUGAAGAACGCAGCGAAAUGCGAUAACUAGUGUGAAUUGCAGAAUUCCGUGAAUCAUCGAGUCUUUGAACGCACAUUGCGCCCCCUGGUAUUCCGGGGGGCAUGCCUGUCCGAGCGUCAUUGCUGCCCAUCAAGCACGGCUUGUGUGUUGGGUCGUCGUCCCCUCUCCGGGGGGGACGGGCCCCAAAGGCAGCGGCGGCACCGCGUCCGAUCCUCGAGCGUAUGGGGCUUUGUCACCCGCUCUGUAGGCCCGGCCGGCGCUUGCCGAACGCAAAUCAAUCUUUUUCCAGGUUGACCUCGGAUCAGGUAGGGAUACCCGCUGAACUUAAGCAUAUCAAUAACCGGAGGAAGG
rnacentral:rRNA from 1 species